UUCUGUUGACAGAUUUAAUUUAAAUCUCACGAAUGUAACUUUAAAUGCAUGAUAAUUAUUUUACAUCUCAAAAUCAUUGCUACGCGAUACCUUGACACAUCGAAGUAUUGCACAACGCUGUUCGUUACGAAAAACCGUUGAUCAUUCUUUUGAAAUUGUUCAAAUCGUUUCCACGUCUCGAUCGAUUCGUGACUCGUCGCGAUGAAUCGCGAAGAAUCGUGAAAUAAUCGCUGCGACAAACUUAUGACGCAUUCGAAUGCACACGUGGAAAAGCUCGAGGGUGAGUGGCGUGUCACCGACGGUGCUUUAAUAUAACUCGAUAUAAAUCACGAACGUAUCGAGGUUAACUUUGACCUUCUUAAUAUAGCGGAACCUCAUGCUUCGAAAUUCUCAUAUUCUUUAUUAAUUUCGACCACGUAUUGCAUCAGUAUUUUGACGUAUCGAAACUCACUUUUCUUUAUUCAUAUUGUGCGCGCUAUUAUUAUGGUACAGUGCAUUGCGUCAGACUUCCAAUAAUGAAAACCACGUGCACGGUGGGACUAUAUUAAGGUAAUUACGAAAUAAGAUACAUCUACGUCCAAUUAUUAUAUUUCGAUUGGAAAGGAUUUUGUGUUCGAUGAAUAAUCGAUAUGGAAAAUUUUAAAAUUUUUUCCAUAUUUGAUCACUCAUGAAAGAUAAAGGGAUUUACUUAAAUAUUCGAUCGUCAAAGUUGCAAUACGAUUCAAUUACAGCGCGUAAAAGUUCAAUAUUUUUUUGAUAAUGCUGUUCGAAAGAAAAUAUAAUUUUAUUCGAUAGAAGAAUAAUGCAAUUAGUGCAAUUUUUCGUGUCCGGAUAUGUGUAUUUUGUCUCGGUUGUCUGCAUUCUAAGUGCAUCAGUUUCUCAUCGUUAGUUUUGGCGUCGUCAUCGCGCUCGUGUACUCGCUGCGGUAACCUUGUGCAACGCUUUACCGAUUCGCAUCUACGCCUUCUGCAGAAUUCUUUUUUUUUUUUUCUUUUUUUU